rnacentral:rRNA from 1 species
GACGAACGCUGGCGGCGUGCUUAACACAUGCAAGUCGAACGGAAAGGCCCUGCUUUUGUGGGGUGCUCGAGUGGCGAACGGGUGAGUAACACGUGAGUAACCUGCCCUUGACUUUGGGAUAACUUCAGGAAACUGGGGCUAAUACCGGAUAGGAGCUCCUGCUGCAUGGUGGGGGUUGGAAAGUUUCGGCGGUUGGGGAUGGACUCGCGGCUUAUCAGCUUGUUGGUGGAGUAGUGGCUUACCAAGGCUUUGACGGGUAGCCGGCCUGAGAGGGUGACCGGCCACAUGGGAACGAGAUUACGGCCAGAACUCUAACGGAGGGCAGAGGGGGGAAUAAUGGCACAUGGGGCGAAGGCCUAAGGCGGAACCGCGGGGUGCGGAAUAACGGCCUUCGGGUUGUAAACCGUUUUGCCUUGUAACAAGGCGUAGGGAACGUAAUUGGGAAAGGAGGCACCGGUUACUACGUG